rnacentral:rRNA from 1 species
UACGUAGGGUCCGAGCGUUGUCCGGAAUUAUUGGGCGUAAAGGGCUCGUAGGCGGUCCGUCACGUCGGGAGUGAAAACUCGGGGCUCAACCCCGAGCCUGCUUUCGAUACGGGCGGACUAGAGGUAGGUAGGGGAGAACGGAAUUCCUGGUGUAGCGGUGGAAUGCGCAGAUAUCAGGAGGAACACCGGUGGCGAAGGCGGUUCUCUGGGCCUUACCUGACGCUGAGGAGCGAAAGCGUGGGGAGCGAACAGG